AGUGGAAGACAAACGGCCAGUGAAAAUUGGGAAAGCGACACGGAAGACGCUGCGACACGCACCCCCGUCUCCUGUAAAGAAGACAAAAACAUCUGCUGAGACACUCAGAACUGCAAGUGCAACAACAUCAACAGCUGCAAGGGCAUCACCAAUAGGUGGGACAACACCAGCAGUGCCAUCUCACAACAAUGAUGAUCAUCCGAUUGAAGGGGUGUCCCGCAAUAAGACGGAUCGUUUGAUCGAAACACUGAAUUCCAUCAUGGCAGAACGGAU